rnacentral:rRNA from 1 species
AAUAUUGGACAAUGGGGGCAACCAUGAUCCAGCCAUGCCGCGUGUGGGAAGAAGGUCUUAGGAUUGUAAAGCACCUUAAUGAGGGAGGAAGGGCUUUAUGAUAUUAACCUGAAGUUUUUAAGUUACAAACAGAAUAAGCACCGGCCAAGUCUGUGCGAGCAGCCGCGUGAAUACAGAGGGUGCAAGCGUUAAUAGGAAUUAAUAGGCGUAAAGCGCGCGUAGGUAGUUCAGUAAUAUGGGUGUGAAAUCCCCGGGCUUAACCUGGGAACUGCUUUCAUAACUGCUGAGCUAGAGUACGGUAGGGGGUAGUUGAAUUUCCUGUGUAGCGGUGAAAUGCGUAGAUAUAGGAAGGAACACCAGUGGCGAAGGCGACUACCUGGACUGAUACUGACACUGAGGUGCGAAAGCGUGGGGAGCAAAC